rnacentral:lncRNA from 1 species
GGACCGGUAUGAAAUACGCGUUACAGGAAAUUAAGUAUGGAUCUGGCGGGCGUUGGAAUUUCAAGUCAUGAUUAAGUAUAAAGAUGUCAUCCAUGGUUUUUAGGUUUGGCCAGUGUGUCUUAAUCCUGGACGAGACACGUCUUCCAAACUUGGAUUACAACUAUUAUCUUUGACGAGUCCUUAGCAAACUUUUACACAAUUCAUCUGGUUUGUAAAACUUAAAUUUUGAAGUCUACGUUUUAGACAAUGUUGUUAUGUUUUAAACUCAUUUUAUGGAUGACAAAUCUUUGGUAUUAUCAUAUAGAUUGUUUGAUAUGGUUGAAUGCAAUGAUAACAAGUAAGUCACCCCAUAAUCACGCUUCCGCAAAAGUCAGGGUGUGACAGCUUGGUAUCAGAGCUUCGAUCGUAGCGAACUAGGAUUCAUUCUCGAGUCUAGACUACGAUCAAUAGGGCUCUCACGAAAACGCUUUUACAAACAUGUUUUCAUUGCAUACACAAAACGCCCAGAUCCAGGGAACAAACAUUUUUACAAACAAAAGGCACAAAUACACAUUCCAAAAUAUAUGUUUAUAAUUCAGUCUUAGAGACUGAGGGAUUCAAUCUUAGAGAUUGAG